AUGGCAGGCUGUCGUGCAUCAACGGCGAGAAGCAGUUACCGAAUGAGGUCGGCGGUGAGGCCCAAGGCGGGGCUGGGACAUGGGCGCGGAGCUUCUCGCACGACGCCCGUUCAUGGGGUUGGGAUGAAUUCAUCAAGGUUGAAGACCUGGACGACGAGAAGCACCUCAGGGACGGCUGCCUGUGCAUGCUUUGCGACCUCACCGUCUUCGACGUGUGCACCAACGACUACUUUGCGCCCCAUGGAGACCACGGCCAACCAGCAGCCGAGUCGCUGGAAAGGCUCAAGCUUAUACAGGGGGUAG
rnacentral:rRNA from 1 species